rnacentral:rRNA from 1 species
UGGGGAAUAUUGGACAAUGGGGGCAACCCUGAUCCAGCAAUGCCGCGUGAGUGAUGAAGGCCUUCGGGUUGUAAAGCUCUUUUGCCAGGGACGAUGAUGACGGUACCUGGAGAAUAAGCCCCGGCUAACUUCGUGCCAGCAGCCGCGGUAAUACGAAGGGGGCAAGCGUUGUUCGGAAUUACUGGGCGUAAAGGGCGCGUAGGCGGCCGAUCAAGUCAGGCGUGAAAUUCCCGGGCUCAACUUGGGGGCCUGCGCUUGAUACUGAUUGGCUUGAAUGCGGGAGGAGGAUAGUGGAAUUCCCAGUGUAGAGGUGAAAUUCGUAGAUAUUCGGAGGAACACCAGUGGCGAAGGCGGCUCACUGGCUCGAUACUGACGCUGAGGUGCGAAAGCGUGGGGAGCAAACAGGAUUAGAUACC